GGUUAAGCGACUAAGCGUACACGGUGGAUGCCCUGGCAGUCAGAGGCGAUGAAGGACGUGCUAAUCUGCGAAAAGCGUCGGUAAGGUGAUAUGAACCGUUAUAGCCGGCGAUGUCCGAAUGGGGAAACCCAGUGCAAUUCGUUGCACUAUCGUUUGAUGAAUACAUAGUCAAACGAGGCGAACCGGGGGAACUGAAACAUCUAAGUACCCCGAGGAAAAGAAAUCAACCGAGAUUCCCCCAGUAGCGGCGAGCGAACGGGGAGCAGCCCGGAGUCUGAAUCAGCUUGUGUGUUAGUGGAAGCGUCUGGAAAGUCGCAGGGUACAGGGUGAUACUCCCGUACACUAAAACACACAGGUUGUGAACUCGAAGAGUAGGGCGGGACACGUGGUAUCCUGUCUGAAUAUGGGGGGACCAUCCUCCAAGGCUAAAUACUCCUGACUGACCGAUAGUGAACCAGUACCGUGAGGGAAAGGCGAAAAGAACCCCGGCGAGGGGAGUGAAAAAGAACCUGAAACCGUGUACGUACAAGCAGUAGGAGCCCACUUGUUGGGUGACUGCGUACCUUUUGUAUAAUGGGUCAGCGACUUAUAUUCUGUAGCAAGGUUAACCGUAUAGGGGAGCCGCAGGGAAACCGAGUCUUAACUGGGCGUUAAGUUGCAGGGUAUAGACCCGAAA
rnacentral:rRNA from 1 species